UGCGUAGGUGGUUCAGUCAGUCAGAUGUGAAAGCCCCGGGCUUAACCUGGGAACUGCAUUUGAUACUGCUGGGCUAGAGUGUGGUAGAGGUAAGUGGAAUUCCGGGUGUAGCGGUGAAAUGCGUAGAUAUCCGGAGGAACACCAGUGGCGAAGGCGGCUUCCUGGACCAACACUGACGCUGAGGUACGAAAGCGUGGGUAGCAAACA
rnacentral:rRNA from 1 species